rnacentral:rRNA from 1 species
GGUGCCUUCUGAGUUCCCUGGAACGGGACGCCAGAGAGGGUGAGAGCCCCGUACGGUUGGCCGCCGAACCUAUAUAUAGCUCCUUCGACGAGUCGAGUAGUUUGGGAAUGCUGCUCUAAAUGGGAGGUAAAUUUCUUCUAAAGCUAAAUACCGGCCAGAGACCGAUAGCGCACAAGUAGAGUGAUCGAAAGAUGAAAAGCACUUUGAAAAGAGGGUUAAAUAGCACGUGAAAUUGUUGAAAGGGAAGCGUUUGCGACCAGACUUUUUCCUGUCGGAUCAUCCGGUGUUCUCACCGGUGCACUUCGGCAGGUUUAGGCCAGCAUCGGUUCUCUUAGGGGGAUAAAGGCCUUGGGAACGUAGCUCUUUAGGGAGUGUUAUAGCCCCUGGCGUAAUACCCUUCGGGGGACCGAGGAUCGCGCUCUGCAAGGAUGCUGGCGUAAUGGUCGUCAACGACCCGUCUUGAAACACGGACCAAGGAGUCGAACAUUUGUGCGAGUGUUUGGGUGUCAAACCCUCACGCGUAAUGAAAGUGAACGGAGGUGAGAGCCUUAGGGCGCAUCAUCGACCGAUCCUGAUGUCUUCGGAUGGAUUUGAGUAAGAGCAUAACUGUUCGGACCCGAAAGAUGGUGAACUAUGCGUGGAUAGGGUGAAGCCAGAGGAAACUCUGGUGGAGGCUCGCAGCGGUUCUGACGUGCAAAUCGAUCGUCAAAUCUGCG